GCGAAAGCAGACCAAACUGUUUAAGGAAGAAUCUCUUCACUAGAGCAAGGUAUUUCCUACUCCUCUGUUUAAAGAAGAAACCCAUCACCAGAUCAAGUAUGACGUACCCUGUGAAGUUUGUAUUGCUGGUGCUAGUCUUGGCCACUGUGUGUGGUCACGUGGUAUCCAACAUACACACGCGGGCAUCAAAUAGACAUUCCCAGUCUGGAGCUCCACGCGGUUGGCGAACCGUGAGAAUACGUUUUGAAGGUGGACAGCCACUGGAGGGGUAACGGCCCAUUAUAAUUCGUUUAGAGGUUUACGUUGUAAGAGUGGUUUUCAGACUGUUGAGUGUUUUAUUAUGGAAUAAACUGUGAUACGUCCGUAUGUGCGCCACAUAGUAUGCCAUUCACUUGUCGUUUUUG